UCCCAUAAUGCAACGCCACGACUCUAACGUACCUUAAACUGCCGUAAAAGAGGCGCGCUGCAGUUUGCGUAAACUUGGGGUGGUAGCGUCAGUCGAGCUGUGUGGAUGUUCUCGGCUUACACCGGGUUCUGCGUUCCUGAUGGAGUGAGGAAUAUUGGGCGAAUCCCAGGGAGUGGCCAGAAGUGCUAAAGCGCCCCACAAAUCCAUUCUUCCAGCGAACUUUAGAGCACGUGUUUAGAGCCAAAGUGCAGUGCUGAGAAUUGCCUACCUGAAAGGGCGCUGUCCUGCCCCUCGGAAGCUCACAGUCACGUGGGGGAGAUGCUGGGUUUACUCCAGAGUCCACGGAGGUGGUCAGCGCACAGUCCUGGGGGAGCAGAGGACAAGGCGAACCUGAUACUUGUUGCCUCAGAAGGAUUUCUUAAAGUAGCGUUAGAACUAAGACUGCACGCGGACUAUAAAUGAAUUUUAUUGUCAACCUGUAAAAUAUCCAGGAACAGCCAUCCAGUAAAUUAGCCAACGGAAAUAAGUGAAUGGGGAUGGUACUUUCCAUCCCCAGGCCUCAUAUGGUGAAAUGUCCAGGGUUUAAUCUCUCUUGGAAGGAAAG